rnacentral:piRNA from 1 species
AACCUGUCUCCAAAACAACUAGAACUAGA